CUCUGCAGAUCUCGGAGGAAGGGGAAAUGUUUUUUUCUCCCCUUUUCCAUCUUCUGAGCGCGGGAGGCCAGCGGAGCAGUGCCGAGGGGUGCGCAGAGCAGGGCUGGCAGGAACGAGCGCCACGACGGGGGCUGAUAAAGCAGCGCUCGGGCUCCCUGACCUUCUGCUCCUUACUGUUCCAGUGCUCGUUUUCUGAGCUAAAAAUACCUUUUACCUUGACUGCUGUUAAGGAGGAACUCCCGCUUUGCAGGUUGUUUGGGAUUCGAGGGAAGAAAGGAGAGGCAGGGCUCAAUUAGCCUGGCUGAAUUUACAGGCCAAGUUCUGCGGCUGCAUGGUUUGCUCACUUGUCUGGUGCACACUUUGAUGCACGCAGCAGGCCGGGCCUUUUUUUACUUCUCCGUGCACGUACUUGGUGUUGUUAUUCCCGUGUUUACAGCCCUCCUCAUAAUGACCACUGCUGGUUUUUCUGCUCUCAAAAAAGCCCAGUGCCGCUGCUGAAAUGAGCGGAAUAUCCGGGAGGACAAUGCGGCGGUUGCAGCUCGUGCGGUGCGGCUUUUCUGAGCUCUGCCGGACCUCUCCCGGUCAUUCCCGCUGUCCUUCUGCUCGGCGCUGUUUAAUUCUGGGACUUUUUCCCAUUCGGAACCCCUGUGCCAGGAAUGCACCAAUGCACACGGCUCAGUAAAAAGGGCUCUGUGUUCCUGCUACCUGCUGUAUUCACUGCGAUGAGCAAGCAGCGGCAAGCACCAGGUGCCUCUUAGUUAAUGCAGUGUGCUUUUAAUUGCAAAAAAUUAAGUGUAGGUAGGCUGCUUGUUUUUCUUCCACCGUCUGCUAUUUCAUACUCGCCAGCACCCAUAUUCUUCACCCACAAGAACUGCCACAAGUAGGUCAUCUGUCACACUUUUCCCCCCGAGCUGUCCCUGCUCAAGUUGUGCAAUGCCGUAGAGCACCGCGUUUUGAGCGCUGGUGUCUUCCUGCAGCAAGUCGAAAAUCCAGUGAAAACAACUGCAGAAAAACUGAACAGAAGUUGCUGAAGGUACUUUGUGGUACCAUGAUAACGUGGUAUGUUACGUUUUUCUUACUGUUCUCAAGUCCUGGCUGUACUUGACUUUAUUCAGAAGCAAAUCUAAUAUUUUCUGUAUAAGAAACCGGAGCGUUUCGUACGGCCUGGGAAGUGAUCCACCUCAAAGAGAGCCCGAGCGACCUCCUCCUGGUCGGCGUGCUGUGUGUGAUGGCGGGGAGUGACACACGCAUCUGGAGAAAACCAGCAACACGGCUUUACCACAGCCCGCCCGCCUGGCCAGGCGCCGGAGCCCUGCCUGACCCCCCGGUGGCAUUUCAGCUCCGAGUCCUCAGAUGAACAGCGGCAAGAACGUGGGCCCGAGGCCUCCCCAGCUGCUGUGUUUGUCCGGGGGGUGAUGAACAACUGUAAAGUGCAGUCCUGACCAGGAAAGGCCGGAGGAGAGAGCUGCCACGUAAACGUCUGGGUUGGGAUUUCUGCAGCGCUACGCCGGGUGUGCCUGUCCAGUGAGGCAGAAGUUAUCAACGCGAAUGUGGCGAUCAAUGAAUUUUCAAAUACAAAGUGCCUGAAAACUGGGGCCCCGUGUGGCUAGUAAUUUGGCCUCUUUAUUGCAAAUGCCCACGUGCAAGCGGACAGCGUGUGAAAAGGACGCGGCUUCCUACCGUGCACCCUUCAACUUUGUUUUCUUGCUGUGUGGAAUAAAUACAUCUGGUUGUUGGUGAUCAUAUACACACGAUAGCCGGUUUAUUUCUCAGUUUAUAUUAAAAUAUUUUGAAUCUG